UACGUAGGGGGCAAGCGUUAUCCGGAUUCACUGGGCGUAAAGGGAGCGCAGGCGGCACGGCAAGUCUGAUGUGAAAGCCCGGGGCUCAACCCCGGGACUGCAUUGGAAACUGCCGGGCUGGAGUGUCGGAGGGGUAAGCGGAAUUCCUAGUGUAGCGGUGAAAUGCGUAGAUAUUAGGAGGAACACCAGUGGCGAAGGCGGCUUACUGGACGAUCACUGACGCUGAGGCUCGAAAGCGUGGGGAGCAAACAGG
rnacentral:rRNA from 1 species